GCCCCGGGCAUGGCCCCGCCGCGGGCAGGGGGAGCGGGGCUGCGCUGGCCCCGCGCGGGAAACUGUGAGGAGAGGGCGGCCGCAGGCCCGGGAGCCGCUCCCUCACGCCGGUCGGGUGCCCCAACCCAGCGGCGGCUGUGUCCCGGCUGGGAUCUUCGAGGAAGUGCAGCAUGGCCGUGGUUUUGUCGUGUGUCGUGAGUCAUGCAACUGUAGAAUCCUUAAGGUGAGAGAAGGCAGGGUUUCCUUCUCUCAUUGCAGUUUCUGCGCUUACAGGUAAGUGGGACUCCUGAAAAUGUACUUACAAUCCACACACCUCACUGGUAAAUAAAGAACAGAAGCAACAACAUGGUGUAAUAAAAAAAUCUAAGUUGACUACAUUAUAGGACAUUUUGUGCAUACUUUUGUGUGCAUAUUAAUUUCAUAUUCAGCAGGCUAUCUUUUGACAUGUGUUCUCCUGCUCCAAAAUAAUUCCUUUAAAGUCUGCAUUUCAUUAUUUAGAAAUACAGCUUCACAGUGUUAGAUUGACUCUGAGUUGUUCACUUCUGUUGGUGUAAAUUUGAUUCCUAUUUGUGAUGUGGUCCCUUAUAUAUUUUAAACUUUACUGUUUCUUGCUUAUAGAAAGAAAUGCAGGUAUUUCUAAUAAUCUAAUGAAUGCAAAAUAGCAUCAUAAUUGCUUUUAUCUACUUGGCAGCAUUACUUAGUGAGUAUUGAGUUGUCAUUUGAAUUGUGGCAUUGUCAUCCAUGCCACGCAAAGAGAACAAAAUUUAAGUUGUUGGGUUCUGGAUUAAGUAAAAAUGUUUAAAAGUCUUGUCUUAAGCUACCACAUAGGAAAAUACUGCCUGUAUUACAGGACUCCAGUUGUUUAUUUUUCUCUCUGGAAAGAUAUUCUGCAGAGCAGAGAAGAGCAGGAACAUCAUUUUGGAGGGUGUCUGAAUGCUGGCUGAGCAGGGACCCCCUUCUCUUGGCUUCAGCCAGUGUUACACAUUUGCUGAAAUGCCCCAUUUUGCCAAGGAUGGUUGUCAGUCCUUUAAAUGGAGGUAGGAGACUCAGUCCAUGAUUUGGUGGUUCAGAUAUUCCCUGCUGAGACAACUGGAAACUUGCCUGGUGUGGGAGAGCAGAACUUAAACACUUGGAAAUGCUGAUGGGAGUGUGAGGUAUAUGGAUGAGCUGAAGGACAACUUAUGUACAUAUCUGGGGUGUCUGAAGAUGUCCCUGUCGUCAAACCAUCCCUCCUUCCAUGCUGACCAUGAGCAGCUUGGCACUGCUGAGGCCGACCCCUACAACAAUUGAAGAAGUCCUCUCAGGCUGGUUCCUGAUUUUCCUUUUUUUCCUUACUUUUGGCUCCUUCUGAAAAUUGUGCACUCUAUUCCCUACUGUUUUAGUGAACUCUUUGUCACAUUUCAGUUUUUGGUUUCUUUAAACCCCACAGUUUUAAUAAAUUCUUUAGCUCAAAUGUGUUUACGACUUCAAUGUUCACAUUUUUUUCUUCCUGGCAGGAUGUGUUGCCACCCCCCAUUGUCCUCAAAAACCCAAAGAUAGGUAGGCUGAAGGAAGACUGUGUGUGGUUAAAAUGUCACUGCACUCCCAACUAAUUCUGGCUGCUAGAAUUGUCCCUGGGGGCAGCAGACAGCUGGACAUAAUUUAAAGCAGGCUGAGAUUGAUACUAGAGGCUAGCCCAAAAAGGAGGAAAACAAAAUUGCAGUUUAAUCUCUUCUACUCACAGAUCUGACCCCCUUUUCCUGUUUCAAACUUCGCUCCCUAGAACAGAAAUGAAGCACGUGGAGAACUUCAGCAACUCGUGUUUGCCAGCUCGGGGGACCAUCGGUGUCAAUUUAAGAUGGUUUCUGUCCCUGAGUGUGGCAUAUCAAGUAACACUGAAGUUGUCUAAACUCAGAGCUGGAAUGGUGGAGAUGCUAUUUUCAUGUUGGACUCACAGGAAUUUUAGAACAUAAAUUAUUUUGAUAACAUGGCAGGCUGCCUUUCUGCCACGCUGCCUGCAAGUGUCAAUUUUUUUUCCAUGUUUCAACUUGGAAGUGACAUAAUGUUGAAGGAUAAACUGUGAAGAAUUAGAGGUCUGAUUUUUUUAUUGCCAAUUAAACAUGACAAAUGUUAAACUUCUAUUUGAGGUUAUAUUUUACAAGUUUAUUUAUCUUUAAGGGAGGUAUCCUGAGUAUAUUGUAUGUGCCAUGAAGUGUCACUGUACUGUAAAUUUGAUUUGAAAGAAGGUCUGUGUUAGGUAAUUACUUUCACUUUUCAUAGAAAGCUGACAUAGAGGUAAAAAUUCACCAUAUCAGUUUCUUAUCACAGGUGUUGAAGUGACAAAAAGUUAAUAAGGACCAAAACAUCAGUAGCAAGGGGCAGAGAACAAAUUCUCUCCUUCUGCUUAAUCCUCCUAUUCAAUCUAAACAUAUAUUUAUUGUUCUCCGUUUCUUGCUUUGCAGUAGAGUUCAUAGGUGACAGAUGAUGCAAACACAGAAUUAGAGAAAACUGACAAAGAAAAGAUAGGAGAGUUGGAUUAGAAAAAUCUAGGAGUAGCAUUUCAGCCUUUAUUUUCAGGUUAUCUCCUGUAUGAGAGAUCUUGCAUGAGUUUUGUUAUGCUGAAGCCUCUGGCUAACUUGAGCAAACCAUUGCUUUAAUUUUUAAAUGUCUAACAAUGCUCUAAGGAUAUUAAAGUAUAACAUUGUUGCCAUUUUUUAUUUUGAUUUUUGCUAAAGAUCAAGCCUGUGGUCUGCAUACAAUUUGUCAAGCAUGCAAUUUGCUUGUCUGCUGCAUUUUAUGGGGAUGUGAUCCUGUAUUUCGUGUGUUUCUGUGGACUCCAGCAGAAAUCUGGAUGCCCAGAUAAGGUGGUGACUAUUCCCACUGGAGUCCUUUGUGAGUAAAAGAAACAUGAGGGAGAGAGUGAGUGAGUGGGAAAGGCAUUUCCCAGAGGUUGUCCAUCUUUUUUGUUGGUACAGUUGUGCAGCCCUAAUAAAUUGGGAAUUGAAGGGAUUUGGAAGGGUGAGGGAUUUUCAGAUCAGCUGAAAAUAACACAAGAAAUGUGGGGGUGAGGGUGUGUGGGAAGGAUGAGCCCAUUUCACUUUCCAUAUGUGGUUCACCACCUCUUGCAUCUCAGGGAAUGAGGAUUUUCCAGGACUGCAAACCUCUCCUAGUGAUACUCUCGGGUGAUGUUGGUUUUAGGCUCCCCUGUGCACAAUGAGAGAAUAUGGUUAAUGGUUGUUUUCUCAGUGUUUUCCAGGCUGCAAGUUUGAGGUCCAUCUUACACAAGUUUACUCAUGCUCCCAGAAUAUCUGUUUUUAUGGAUUAACCAUACAGAUAAGAGCUACAGCAGCCCAGAAAACAUUCAUCAUUGUAGAUAUGUGGUUUCUGUAAUACUGGAGUUGUCAUUUCUUCUCCUUUUUCUUCUGGAAAACCAGCAUUGCUGUGCAUAGGAGUUGAAGUCUGAUGCUGUACUAGGUUUCAACCAAUUUGGUUAAAAUGAGAACUUUUUCCCAGAAAUAUAACCCAUCUGAGGAGCAGACAGCCUUUCUGAUAUUCAAAAUCCUAGCUUGAAUAUAUACGGUUGUUCUGAUUAAACUGUGUCAGUGCAGUUCCUUGCUCUGGCUAAGAGGCAACAUAGAAAUGCCAGAAUUCAAAUCCAGUAUCACCCAGAAUAUGUUGGAGACAGCUUUCAACUCUAGUUUUGGCUUCCUGUGAAGCUUUGUGCAAAUCAUUUAAUCGAUUUCUUGGUACACUCUCUCUGAAAUGAAGAAAAGAUGUGACUCUUGCUCAGGGAAGUGAGAUACCUGUGGCUGAAAGGGAUCAAAAUUCUGGAAAAGGCUGGAAGAUGAUACCAUGAAAAGCUGGCACAGAAACACCCAUAACCCUUCAUUUCAACAGAAAAGGUGGAAUGGCAAGACCUCUGUGUGGGGCUUAUUUGGUGGAUGUUUUGGGCUCUAUCCAUGCACAUCUGUGGCUACCCCCCCAUGGAAAUUGACUGCACUUCAAGCCAUAUGUGAGGGCACUGUGGAGCUGCCAUCCCUGGAUCCUUGUCCGGGGAAUGCCACUGAGGAUUUGGCAGCAGAAAAUACCAUAAACCUGUGAGAUUGGGAAUGCACCAUGGAAACAAACAGCACCCUGGCAAAAUAAAGAGAUGUUUCCUCAAUGGAUCGCCAUUAAAAAGCUCAGCAGAGUUCCUUCUGAACCCUGCAUGAAGGGAUACUCCAAACUUCUCAAAGAAAAAUGCACAGCGAAGUGGGGUAUUAAACGGUAUCACCGUGCUUUGCUAUAAAACACAGAAGGCUUUUACGAGAGCCGAAGUGGUAAGUUGUUGAUCCAUUGUGUUGGAAUUGGAUGAAACGAAUUCCUCUGGGAGAUAAGGAAAAGGAUCUAGAAAUGUAGUGCUGCCCUCCAGUGGCGGCAUGAGGGGGUUUGUCUCCAGUGCUCGCAGGAUGUUGGCUGGAAGGCAAACAGAAACGUGCAAGUAUUUCCGAAAGGACUGGGUAGUUACAGUUCAAAUGUUAGGGCAGCAGUGGAGAAGAGGGGAUGUGAGACACAGCCAAACUUACCCUAGUCUGGAACUGCUGAAUUGGUGAUUUGUCCAAGGUU